UUCACUUUUAUUUUAACAUCAUCUUAAUAAAAUUUUUAAAUCUGUUCUUAUCAGUUUAAUAUCUGAUCUGUCCUUUAUUUGAGGACUGUAUGUUAAAUUGGUUUUUGAAACAGGGGGCUGGAAUAGGAGCUUGCUCUGUCCACCUCAGGCAUUGACCUGGUAUUGCAGUGUCUCUGGGAAGGGUGUAUCUCCU
ensembl:snRNA U2 U2 spliceosomal RNA